GAUGAACGCUGGCGGCGUGCCUAAUACAUGCAAGUCGAGCGAACAGACGAGGAGCUUGCUCCUCUGACGUUAGCGGCGGACGGGUGAGUAACACGUGGAUAACCUACCUAUAAGACUGGGAUAACUUCGGGAAACCGGAGCUAAUACCGGAUAAUAUAUUGAACCGCAUGGUUCAAUAGUGAAAGACGGUUUUGCUGUCACUUAUAGAUGGAUCCGCGCCGCAUUAGCUAGUUGGUAAGGUAACGGCUUACCAAGGCAACGAUGCGUAGCCGACCUGAGAGGGUGAUCGGCCACACUAGAACUGAGACACGGUCCAGACUCCUACGGGAGGCAGCAGUAGGGAAUCUUCCGCAAUGGGCGAAAGCCUGACAGAGCAACGCCGCGUGAUGGAUGAAGGUCUUCGGAUCGUAAAACUCUGUUAGUAGGGAAGAACAAAUGUGUAAGUAACUAUGCACGUCUUGACGGUACCUAAUCAGAAAGCCACGGCUAACUACGUG
rnacentral:rRNA from 1 species